rnacentral:rRNA from 1 species
AUUGAACGCUGGCGGCAGGCCUAACACAUGCAAGUCGAGCGGAUGAAUGGAGCUUGCUCCUGGAUUCAGCUGCGGACGGGUGGGUAAUGCCUAGGAAUCUGCCUUGUAGUUGGGGAUAACGUCCGUAAACGGGCGCUAAUACCGCAUACGUCCUGAUGGAGAAAGUGGGGGAUCUUCGGACCUCACGCGAUCAGAUGAGCCUAGGUCGGAUUAGCUAGUUGGUGGGGUAAAGGCUUACCAAGGCGACGAUCCGUAACUGGUCUGAGAGGAUGAUCAGUCACACUGGAACUGAGACACGGUCCAGACUCCUACGGGAGGCAGCAGUGGGGAAUAUUGGACAAUGGGCGAAAGCCUGAUCCAGCCAUGCCGCGUGUGUGAAGAAGGUCUUCGGAUUGUAAAGCACUUUAAGUUGGGAGGAAGGGAAGUAAGUUAAUACCUUGAUGUUUUGACGUUACCAAAAGAAUAAGCCCCGGCUAACUUCGUG